CAGAGAUGUGAAAUCCGGGAUUUCAUACCCUCAGGACAAUAUUUACAAUCAUUACUCACUUCUAUCCGGUCCAAACUCUAACCCGCGAUGCCCUUGCCUCUCGAAUCGGCCUCUGGAUGCUCCAAAUCUAAUCAAAAUCAGUGCAAAACCAUCAAAAUAUGCUAAGGGAACAAAGUCCACUCGAAAGAAAUCAAAUUACAACACAAAUCCCGAAAUUGGCCAAACCCGACCCCCAGGCCCAUGUCUCAGAAUCCGAUAAAAAUUACAUCAAUAGACUCCUUAUCACUCCCCGAGUUCAUUCAUAUCAAUAGCACCAAAAUCUAACCCCAAAUGACCCCUCAAAUCCCAAAUUCUAGGUCUCCAAUUACAAGCCAGAAUUCUUUAAUAUCUAGGCUUAAAUUCUACAAAUUCCAUGAUUAAUUAGGUAGAAAUCACAUUAGGAUUGAGUAUUAAGUCCAUAAAUCUUACCCAAGUGUUCCCCCUUGAUUCCUUCUUCAAUCCCCUUCCAAAAGCUUCAAAAUCACCCCAAAAUGGAGGAACUUAGACCCAAAAUCACGGAAAUGAGUCUUUUAAACAUUCUGCCCAGCACUUAAAAUUCCUUCAUUGUGAACGCGGUCAACACCUCGCUUUCACGAAGCAAAACCUGACGUUGACCACUUAUUCCUUCUUCGCGAACGCGUCUCCCCUCUCGUGAACGCGAAGACUCAGUUUCACAACCCAUCGCGAACACAACUUCCCUCUUGCGAACGCGUAGCUCAAUGACCCCAACCCUUCGCGAACGGGGGACCUCCUUCGCAAACGCGAAGGCUAAUCCUCCAACCUCACACCCUAACCCUUCGCGAACGCAAAGGCCAAAAGUCUGCAACAGUCACAGCAGAUUUUCUGCGAUCUUUUUCAACUUGAAAUGGUUUGUUUAAACACCCGAAACUCACCUGAGUCCCUCGGGACCUCAACCAAACAUGCCAACAUAUCCCGUAACAUCGUUCAAACUUGUUCCAACCUUCAGAAUGCUCAAAACAACAUCAAAACACCAAAUUUGUAUCGGAUUCAAGCCUAAGAAUUCUAAAACUUUCAAAUUUCUCUUUCGAUCAAAAAGCCUAUCAAACCAUGUCCGAAUGACCUGAAAUUUCACACACACAUCCCAAAUGACACAAUGGACCUAUUGUAACUCCUGAAAUUCCAUUCCGAUCCCUAUAUCAAAAUCUCACCUAUUAACCGGAAAAUGCCAAAAUUCCAACUUCGCCAAUUCAAGCCUAGAUCUACUACGGACUUCCAAAACCCAUUCCAAUCACGCUCCUAAGUCCCAAAUCACCUCCCGAAGCUAUCUGAACCAUCAAAAUUCAUAUCAGAGCCCUAUUUCACAUAAGUUCAUAUCUAGGUGACUUUUCCAACUUAAGCUCACUCAAAAGAGACUAAGUGUCUCAAACCUCACCAAAACCUUUCCGAACCCAAGCCAACAAAUUCGAUAACACAUAAUACCGAUAAACAUAGCAAUAAGAAGCGGAAAUGGGGGAAACGGAGUGGUAAAUCCUGAAACAACCGGCCGAGUCGUUACACCCGCGUAGUUCGUCCAGUUUUGACAUAAUUGGAAAAAACAUGAUAUGGACUCACUUUCAUUUUGAAACACAUUUUCUUUCAAAAAAUCUUGGCAGAGUUUUGAGGUAUUUUCAAAUACCGAGGUUCUCAGAACCGGGUGAAUUUUCUAUCCUGCCUCACUCUUGGUUUUUUUGUUGAUUAUUUUUCCUUAGCCGGUCAACGUGCAAGCCAAAGUAAAUAAAUGUACAAAUAGCACGGAAGGUGCAUCAGGAGGGUCUUUUAUUUCGGGUACACCUGUCCUAGACGGGCCCAACCCCUGUGUCGAGUCCCUUAAGUCAAAUAGACGUGAUGCAAACAAACGUACCUACUAGGGAUCCAGCAUGAGGCUAUGUUAUUCUAGGUUUAAACCUUGGAAUUUGUUCUAGACAUGACUUACCCAAGUGGACAAUGGGAGCGACGUACCGGGAGCACGAAAGUCUACCUCGCCUAGUGGCAGAUCCAUCCUCGUUCUAUUUGGUACGACCUCUAACAGAAAAGCGGGCCACACGAAUGUGUGCACCAUUUUUUAGAAGACUCAGAAGGGAGGCGUAAGAAAACAGUUUAAUACAGUUCAAAUAAUAUCAAAGCGGUAGCGUCAAUUAGCACAUUAGGCCCACAAAAUACAGUAAUAUCAACAAUUAAUAAAGCCAAGUAAAAAUCACAUUAACAAGCUCGAAUUCUUGAACCCUGAACCAGAGAUUUUGGGUUCUAUCCCCAGCAGAGUUGCCAGAGCUGUCACACAUCCUUUUUACCCGAAAAGGAUAGGAAUAGGGAAUUUUUUCAAUUUAAGUGACAUUAAUCAAAAUGGGAUUAUUUAUUUAUUUUCAAAGUCGUCACUUGGGAUAAUUUAUGGCGUCCCAAGUCACCGAUUCAUUUAAAUCCCAAAUCAAGGAAUUUUGACCCCGUUUAAAGUCUGCGAAACCAGAAAAACUAGGUAAGGAAUUUUGUUUACCCGAGAGAAGGUGUUAGGCAUUCCCGUGAUUUCAGCAUGGUCGCUUAGCAAUUUAUACUUGGCUUAUUUUGUCUAAUUACUCAUUUUAGGACCUAUAGUUAUUUUACCUUUUAUCACUAUUAAUUAUUUGGUAAACCGUAUUUAAAGAAUUAACUUAAGAUAAGUUACGCGUAUGUAUACUCAUUUAGUUUAAUGUUUUAAGAAUCAUGUCAUGUGUACGUGUACACAAUUCAUAACACUUAAUUAUUUAAGAAAAAAUUUGGUCAAAGUCGCGCGAACACGUACCUUGAAUUUAUUUGAAAGAACCGUAAUCACAUCAUGAGAACAUGUACGCAAUCAUGAUAGUAGUUUUAAAACCCGCGCCUAAAGCAUUUCUACUAGUAUUUGAUUAAGGCGUUCUACUUACUAAGAAUGUUUGUCCAUGGUCACGCGAACGUGUACCUUGGUUUUAAGUUUAGAAAAAUCAUAAUUAUGUUACGCAAAUGUAUACAUAAUCACGAUAAUUUGAUUAGUUAAAGGAGUGCCCAUUUGGUCAAUAAAUUUACUACCCCAAUUAUCCCUAACAUUGUAACACCAUUCUAAAGUCCAAAUUAACAAGGUAAUGCCAGAACCCAAUUCUGGUUCCUUCUUAAAACGCACCACGAAGUUAUAGGUUCAAAAAUGAUUUAUUAAUGCCACUGCCCAUUUGCAUUAAAUUAUGACCCAAAUCUCUUUAAUCCCAAGUGAAAAACUCAAGACUUACUUAACAGUUAACUGGACAAUAAUUCAUCAAUUUCUACAAAUAUUCUUAAACCACCAACUAAUAUGGUUAAAGAACGUGAAAAAACAGCAGGAACACAAAAACACAUGCAUAAUUCCAACCACUACACAGUAGGCUACUUCAUACAAUAAUUUUAUCAAAAUAAACUCAACCAACAACUAAGCACCAGCAAUAUAUCAAUAAAAGAGAUCAAAACUAAAUAAAGAUCAGACCUUUAUUGCUUCACUGUAAAUCAUCUAUAAUAGCAAACUACGAGUGUUUGACCAUACCUCGACCCAAGACGACGACCUCGACAUUGACCUCGCUGGACUUCCUCAUCUUAAGAGAACAACGGCAAUGAAUGGAGGUGUAGCUACGGCAUUUUUAAGGUUGAAGAAAGAGGGUUUAGUAGUUGGUUUCAUGUUGCAACACAGCUAGUUUUGGGUGGCUCUAAUGGCUGGGUUUGGGACUGUUUUGAUGUGAGGUUUUGGACUAAUUUUUAGCAGAUUCACAGCUUAUUUGCUACUCUCUUGGGCUGGAGUUUGCAACUGAUUUGGGACUAUUAUGGGGAGGUUUCAGGUGACAUCCUUUUUCUCUCUGUUUUUUGACUGUUUCGUUCCUCCCCUGCUAUGUGCCUAAGUUUUCUGUCUGACUAUGGGGACACAAAGAAAAGAGGAAAGGUUCCACCCAGCAAAUCGUGCCCUCCCCUUUUUCUGUAUGUUGUGUGUCUAAGAGAACAGAGAGAUCCAGAGCCUUUUUCUUUUGGUCUGCGGCUGAAGCUUUUUAUUGCAAGAAUGGGGGUUCGAGGAAUUAGCUUCAAAAAAAAUGUGUUCUCUGCCUUUCGUUUUUCUGUUUUCCGUCCCUAUCUUCUAUCCCCUGUUUUUUUUUCUCCUCUAAUUGUGUAAUGAAUGUGUAGAUAUAGGGAU
rnacentral:lncRNA from 1 species